rnacentral:rRNA from 1 species
AUGAACGCUAGCUACAGGCUUAACACAUGCAAGUCGAGGGGCAGCAUGGUCUUAGCUUGCUAAGGCCGAUGGCGACCGGCGCACGGGUGAGUAACACGUAUCCAACCUGCCGUCUACUCUUGGACAGCCUUCUGAAAGGAAGAUUAAUACAAGAUGGCAUCAUGAGUCCGCAUGUUCACAUGAUUAAAGGUAUUCCGGUAGACGAUGGGGAUGCGUUCCAUUAGAUAGUAGGCGGGGUAACGGCCCACCUAGUCUUCGAUGGAUAGGGGUUCUGAGAGGAAGGUCCCCCACAUUGGAACUGAGACACGGUCCAAACUCCUACGGGAGGCAGCAGUGAGGAAUAUUGGUCAAUGGGCGAGAGCCUGAACCAGCCAAGUAGCGUGAAGGAUGACUGCCCUAUGGGUUGUAAACUUCUUUUAUAAAGGAAUAAAGUCGGGUAUGGAUACCCGUUUGCAUGUACUUUAUGAAUAAGGAUCGGCUAACUCCGUGCCAGCAGCCGCGGUAAUACGGAGGAUCCGAGCGUUAUCCGGAUUUAUUGGGUUUAAAGGGAGCGUAGAUGGAUGUUUAAGUCAGUUGUGAAAGUUUGCGGCUCAACCGUAAAAUUGCAGUUGAUACUGGAUAUCUUGAGUGCAGUUGAGGCAGGCGGAAUUCGUGGUGUAGCGGUGAAAUGCUUAGAUAUCACGAAGAACUCCGAUUGCGAAGGCAGCCUGCUAAGCUGCAACUGACAUUGAGGCUCGAAAGUGUGGGUAUCAAACAGGAUUAGAUACCCUGGUAGUCCACACGGUAAACGAUGAAUACUCGCUGUUUGCGAUAUACUGCAAGCGGCCAAGCGAAAGCGUUAAGUAUUCCACCUGGGGAGUACGCCGGCAACGGUGAAACUCAAAGGAAUUGACGGGGGCCCGCACAAGCGGAGGAACAUGUGGUUUAAUUCGAUGAUACGCGAGGAACCUUACCCGGGCUUAAAUUGCAGAUGAAUUACGGUGAAAGCCGUAAGCCGCAAGGCAUCUGUGAAGGUGCUGCAUGGUUGUCGUCAGCUCGUGCCGUGAGGUGUCGGCUUAAGUGCCAUAACGAGCGCAACCCUUGUUGUCAGUUACUAACAGGUUCCGCUGAGGACUCUGACAAGACUGCCAUCGUAAGAUGUGAGGAAGGUGGGGAUGACGUCAAAUCAGCACGGCCCUUACGUCCGGGGCUACACACGUGUUACAAUGGGGGGUACAGAGGGCCGCUACCACGCGAGUGGAUGCCAAUCCCCAAAACCUCUCUCAGUUUGGACUGGAGUCUGCAACCCGACUCCACGAAGCUGGAUUCGCUAGUAAUCGCGCAUCAGCCACGGCGCGGUGAAUACGUUCCCGGGCCUUGUACACACCGCCCGUCAAGCCAUGGGAGCCGGGGGUACCUGAAGUGCGUAACCGCGAGGAGCGCCCUAGGGUAAAACUGGUGACUGGGGCU